AUGCUCACUUCCACAGCACAUCUAUUAAAAACAAUAAUAUACAGAUUAGCAUGGCCCCUGGGCAAGGAUAACAUAAAUGCAUGAAACAUUUCACAUUAUUUU